rnacentral:rRNA from 1 species
AACGAACGCUGGCGGCGGGCUUAACACAUGCAAGUCGAACGCAUCCUUAGGGGUGAGUGGCAGACAGGUGAGUAACGCGUGGGAACUUGCCCUUCAGUCUGGGAUAAUCAAGGGAAAUUUGGCCUAAUACUGGAUACGUGCGAGAGCAGGCAGAUUUAUCGCUGAAGGAUCGGCCCGCGUCUGAUUAGCUAGUUGGUGGGGUAAUGGCCCUCCAAGGCGACGAUCAGUAGCUGGUCUGAGAGGAUGAUCAGCCACAUUGGGACUGAGACACGGCCCAAACUCCUACGGGAGGCAGCAGUGGGGAAUAUUGGACAAUGGGCGCAAGCCUGAUCCAGCCAUGCCGCGUGAGUGAUGAAGGCCUUAGGGUUGUAAAGCUCUUUCGUCCGGGACGAUAAUGACGGUACCGGAAGAAGAAGCCCCGGCUAACUUCGUGCCAGCCGCCGCCGUAA